AGUGAACGCUGGCGGUAGGCCUAACACAUGCAAGUCGAACGGCAGCACAGUAAGAGCUUGCUCUUACGGGUGGCGAGUGGCGGACGGGUGAGGAAUACAUCGGAAUCUACUUUUUCGUGGGGGAUAACGUAGGGAAACUUACGCUAAUACCUCAUACGACCUACGGGUGAAAGCAGGGGAUCUUCGGACCUUGCGCGAUUGAAUGAGCCGAUUUCGGAUUAGCUAGUUUGUUGGGUAAAGGCCCACCAAGGCGACGAUCCGUAGCUGGUCUGAGAGGGUGAUUCGCCAAACCGGAACUUGAACACGGGCCAGACUCCUACGGGAGGCAGCAGUGGGGAAUAUUGGACAAUGGGCGCAAGCCUGAUCCAGCCAUACCGCGUGGGUGAAGAAGGCCUUCGGGUUGUAAAGCCCUUUUGUUGGGAAAGAAAAGCAGCAGGUUAAUACCCCGCUGUUCUGACGGUACCCAAAGAAUAAGCACCGGCUAACUUCGUG
rnacentral:rRNA from 1 species